rnacentral:rRNA from 1 species
GAGUUUGAUCUUGGCUCAGGAUGAACGCUGGCGGCGUGCUUAACACAUGCAGUCGAACGAAGCGCCUUAUUUGAUUUUCUUCGGAACUGAAGAUUUGGUGACUGAGUGGCGGACGGGUGAGUAACGCGUGGGUAACCUGCCCUGUACAGGGGGAUAACAAUCAGAAAUGACUGCUAAUACCGCAUAAGACCACAGCACCGCAUGGUGCAGGGGUAAAAACUCCGGUGGUACAGGAUGGACCCGCGUCUGAUUAGCUGGUUGGUGAGGUAACGGCUCACCAAGGCGACGACCAGUAGCCGGCUUGAGAGAGUGAACGGCCACAUUGGGACUGAGACACGGCCCAAACUCCUACGGGAGGCAGCAGUGGGGAAUAUUGCACAAUGGGGGAAACCCUGAUGCAGCAACGCCGCGUGAGUGAAGAAGUAUUUCGGUAUGUAAAGCUCUAUCAGCAGGGAAGAAAGUGACGGUACCUGACUAAGAAGCCCCGGCUAACUACGUGCCAGCA